GAUUAACGCUAGCGGCAGGCCUAAUACAUGCAAGUCGAACGGGAUUUCGGGUAGCAAUAUCUGAAUGAGAGUGGCGCACGGGUGCGUAACACGUAUGCAAUCUGCCUCUGACUGGGGAAUAGCCUUCCGAAAGGAAGAUUAACACCGCAUAAAAUAAUGAAGUGGCAUCACUUUAUUAUCAAAACUCCGGUGGUCAGAGAUGAGCAUGCGUCCGAUUAGCCAGUUGGUGAGGUAACGGCUCACCAAGGCGACGAUCGGUAGGGGGUCUGAGAGGAUGAUCCCCCACACUGGUACUGAGACACGGACCAGACUCCUACGGGAGGCAGCAGUAAGGAAUAUUGGACAAUGGUCGCAAGACUGAUCCAGCCAUGCCGCGUGAAGGAUGAAUGCCCUAUGGGUUGUAGACUUCUUUUAAACGGGAAAAGACCCCUCUACGUGUAGAGGGCUGAUGGUACCGUAAGAAUAAGGAUCGGCUAACUUCGUGCCAGCAGCCGCCGUAA
rnacentral:rRNA from 1 species